UUUUUUUUUUUUUGCUUCUGGAUUCCAAAUAUUCUUUUCCUAUACUUUUUUUAUGCAUGCUCUCAAGGAAUUAUGGAUAUCGAAUUAGCAUUGUUAAAUUAUUCUUCCAUUAUGACUGUGGACACUGUCAGUAUACAAAAUGAGUAGAAAGAGGAAUCUUAAUGUCUUCUUUGGAAAGCUGACAACCAAUUAGAGGAUACAAAUGAUAUGCAUACAGCAUUGGAGAAUGUUUAAGAUAGGAUAUAGAGACUUUUUUUGUAGAUUGUGAAAUAAAAGUGUAAAGAUGAUAUAAAAAGAAGGUGAAGACAAACACAAUAGCAAUUUCUUCAUGAAUUUUAUAGGGCCUGCCCAACUCAGAAGUUCACACUUAAGUUCAUUAGCAACUUUAUUCAUAUAAUUAUUUUUACUGUGAGUGAAAACAUUCUUACAAAAACAGCAAGCAUAUCUAAAAUAAUAUUGUAUUUCCUUUAACAACAACAUUAUUCUAGCACACAAUUUGACUUAAUGUGGUGCAGGUGCCAGAGUUUUUGUGCUGUUGACGAUGAUUCACAGAGCUUAAACACUUUUUUAAAAAGUAAGCUUAGGUUUAUUGUCAGUAUAGUUUUGAUAUUUCCACAAAAAUAUUUUAUAUGUUUUUCAACAAUUCUGACAUUGAUAUUUCAGCCCAUAAUUUUUCUGAAGUUCUAAGCUGUUUAAAUAAGAAGCUGAGGGAAAAGGUAAUACAAACAAUAUAAAAAUCACUUCAACUAAGCACCCACUUACUACUCAUAGUGAUGAUGAGAAUCUCAAAUAGACCUGGUGAAAAACAUAGGGUACAUGUUUACAUUACUUCAGGAAAAUACACAGAUUUGGCAAAAGACUACACUAAUGCCAGUGACAUGUAAAUUAACACUGGCUUUUCACAUCCUUCUACUUAAUAUCAGAGACAAGAAAUUAAAUAGGAGGAGUGCAGAAGUAGAUAUUUCUUAUCAAGAUAGCUUUAGAAGGAGAAGCCAAACAUAGGGUUUUAUGUAUAUUUGUCCUCCCCGCAAGAUCUAGACUGCCAACACUGAGCCUCAUAGGCUAGUCAGCUGGGUAAAUAAAAAAUGUGCCUUGCUGUGAUAUUAUCUUCACAAUUAAGAAUACCAUUAUAUUGCAUUUUAUUUAUUGUCAUUCCUUCUUUUUCAUAAAACAUAAACAAAAUGUUUUGCCUUUACUUAUUAAAUAAUUAUUUCUUUAAAACACAAAAGAACUGAUUGAAAAACUAGUUGUCUCUAUACCAAUACAUAAAUGCACGUUUAGAAAUAAUAUAUGAUUAAUUUAAAAUAUUUCCAGAUUGUGAUAUAUUGCCUCUAUAUUAUUCUUAAAGAAUUUUAGCAAAACAAGUUAUUCACAAUUGCUGAAAAACGUAUCUUGAUAAAUAUAUUUUCUCAAAUAUUAAAUAUUUAUUUCUAUUUAAAAUGACUGUGAAAACAAAAAUCUUUAUAUUUUUGAAUAAUUGAGAAAUGUUCAGAAAACAAUUUAAUUAAGAAACUGACAUAAAACUUGCCUACAAAUAGGAAAAGUACCUAUAAUACAUCAUAAAGAUGAAAUUUUAACUACAAUAUAGUGUUAGAAUCUAUGAUUUCCAUAUAUUUUAGGAUGAUAUAUAAAUCUUUGUUUUAUAGAAACCAGUUUAUUCACAUUGAGCAACACAUUUUUCAUUUGAGAGUAAACAUCUCCCUCUUCUGGAA
ensembl:lncRNA